AAAUUGAAGAGUUUGAUCAUGGCUCAGAUUGAACGCUGGCGGCAGGCCUAACACAUGCAAGUCGAACGGUAACAGGAAGCAGCUUGCUGCUUUGCUGACGAGUGGCGGACGGGUGAGUAAUGUCUGGGAAACUGCCUGAUGGAGGGGGAUAACUACUGGAAACGGUGGCUAAUACCGCAUAACGUCGCAAGACCAAAGAGGGGGACCUUCGGGCCUCUUGCCAUCAGAUGUGCCCAGAUGGGAUUAGCUAGUUGGUGAGGUAACGGCUCACCAAGGCGACGAUCCCUAGCUGGUCUGAGAGGAUGGCCAGCCACACUGGAACUGAGACACGGUCCAGACUCCUACGGGAGGCAGCAGUGGGGAAUAUUGCACAAUGGGCGCAAGCCUGAUGCAGCCAUGCCGCGUGUAUGAAGAAGGCCUUCGGGUUGUAAAGUACUUUCAGCGGGGAGGAAGGUGUUGUGGUUAAUAACCGCAGCAAUUGACGUUACCCGCAGAAGAAGCACCGGCUAACUCCGUGCCAGCAGCCGCGGUAAUACGGAGGGUGCAAGCGUUAAUCGGAAUUACUGGGCGUAAAGCGCACGCAGGCGGUCUGUCAAGUCGGAUGUGAAAUCCCCGGGCUCA
rnacentral:rRNA from 2 species